rnacentral:rRNA from 1 species
UAGGGAACUGAAAGGACCGACCCUUCGGGGAGCCUAUACAGGUGUUGCAUGGCUGUCGUCAGCUCGUGUCGUGAGAUGUUCGGUUAAGUCCGCUAACGAGCGCAACCCUCGUCGUAUGUUAUAUGUGUCAUACGAGACUGCCGGUAAAAAGCCGGAGGAAGGUGAGGAUGAUGUCAAGUCAGCAUGACCUUUAUAUCCAGGGCUACACACACGCUACAAUGGUCUGUACAAUGGGUAGCCAAGCCGCGAGGCGGAGCCAAUCCUGAAAGCAGGCCUCAGUUCAGAUUGCAGUCUGCAACUCGACUGCAUGAAGCCGGAGUUGCUAGUAACCGCAGGUCAGCAAUACUGCGGUGAAUACGUUCCCGGGUCUU